UGGAGGCCUCAUGCUCUGUGCUUUGCCUGCGUGCUCUCUGAACUCUGCAUUCCCAGGGAGUGUGUCUGCACCCAUGUCUCAGAUAUGGAAACUACAGCUCGGAUGCAAUUAAGCUCCUCUCAGAGCUGCCAAGUGCCCUUCCCAGCAAGUGGUCAUCCAGGCAGGGGUUCCCAGCCCAGCUUCAACGAGCAUUUCCUCCCCUAAGGGAGUACGGCUCCACCUUGUGGGACAGAUUCACGGGCAGACCAGGAUAGGUGGCAGAGACUCCACUCCCUCCCUCCUAGGGAGACACCUGCUGCUAUUUCAUUCUGGGUCUUACUAGACGUAAAACAAUAUUAUCACACUACGAAACCUCCUGAGGAGGCAGGCCUGAAGGAGCUUCAGGAGAAACAACCUCACAACAAAAUGGCAGCAUUGUUGAUGGUGCUGUCUGGGAUCGUUGUGGGACACUUAGAGGCUGAAGCCUGGCUGGAAGAGGACUGUCAAGGUGAUGGGGGAGCCACCCCGUCCCUGCUGCUACAUCUUCCCAUCAUGACGGAGUGCAUCCCCUCUGGAAGUUGAAGCUAAAAAUAUACACACAUCCUCCCAUGUGUCCCAAGUCCAGGUGAUUCAGGAAGGAAUAGGAUCCACCCUCCGCCGCUUAGGCCUUCGGGGAAGAACACGGCCUGAUGGGUGAGACGCUGUUGUGAGAAGCAUUAAGAACUACAGGCUGGGGUGCUGUCAACAUUGUCAGAGGAGGCCAGAAAAGGGAAGGCUCAUCCCAUUUUGAAGCAUGAAUAGGAGUUUACCAG